UUGGUGGGGAAAAGGUCCCGGCUGAGAAUUGAUUUCCGCAUUGGGUCGGCCUGGUAUUCUGUCGGUGUUGGCGCUUCUUCUCCCAAGCUCUUGCAGCCCCCUCGGGACUAGGUUUCCAACGGCGCUUGCGGGGGGCCUCGCGGAGGUGGAUGUGGAAAAGGCGAGCGCGGGGGAACUGUGCUGUAACCAUCGCCCCGCCUCCACAGAAAGCCCCGAAGCGCCGGCUCGGGGCCGAACGCGGGCAUCCGGCGUUCGUCUGUUAGGCAGGCAGACAUUAAGCGCCUACUGUGUGCUGGGCCCUACUCAAGACCCAGGCGGGGAGAACGGCGUCUGUCCGGCUGGGUCAGGAGCCCCAAAGCUUUGAAAGAACACCUCCUGAGAGUACAGUGGGAAAUCAACCACCAGCAGAUGAUGGUUGAGCUAGAAGAACCACGUGUUUCCACAGGGAGCUGCACACGAGGACCCGGUGGUCCCUGACCUGCCCUCUCCAGGGGGGACCUGCACUUUCUGCCACCAAAGAGGAUUCUCUGUAGGGAGGCCAGGAUGAUUCUCCAGAAUUUACCAUGCCUUGAGAUGAAAUUUCCUUUCAAACUUCCUUGUGUCCUUUUGUCCUCAUUCCAUGUUCACCAGUCUUCUGACUGUUUCAUUUUCCAGAAAGGAGAAACUGAAUAACAUGUAUAUUUUAACCUUGCCUGCAAUUGUAAAUCAAUAAAUUGGUGUAUUUACAUCAGAUCCCUGUGAGUUUGGUGCACAUAAGACAGUCAUGAAGACUUGGUCACUGUUGGUAGAGUUGGCCAAUAAAAUAUUGAACACAGUUAAAUUUGAAUUCAUGCAAUAUUUGGGGCAUAUUUAUACUAAAUAUGUGUUAUCUGAGAUUCAUAUUUAGCUAGGUGAUUUUUUAAUUUGCUAAAUAUGGCACUCCCACCUCCGGGUAUUGAGAUUGAGUUUCUGAAUUUGGAAAGCUGAUUCCAAACCACCUGGAACCUUAGUGAGCCCACCAUGCAAUCCAGUGACCCUCUAGUUUGUCUGCUGUAUUUUUCCUCCUUACUGAAGCAAGAGUGAUCUUUCCAGAAUGAGAUCGCAGUCUGUCCCUGCCUCCAGUGACUCCCCAGCAUCCCUGGCCCACCACCUGGCUAACUACUCCUCUCCUUUAGGUUGUUGCCUUAGACUUCAAUUUGCCUGGUAAAUCCUCCCUGACCCCAAAACACUAGUUUGGUGCCAUCCUCGCUGCCCGGGGCCCCAAACCCACUGCAUCAUGGAGCCGGAAGCACUAUUAUUUUUUUUCUUUUUUACUUCUCCACUUGAGUGGCAACUUUCUGAAGACAGGGACCAUGUCUGUCUUAUUCACCACUGUCUUCCCACUGUCACCACUGCUUUGCAUGGGGCUGAGCACCGAGCAGGUGCUCAGGAAGUAUUUAUUGAACAACUGAAUGAGGC
rnacentral:lncRNA from 1 species